ACCCCCGUAGCUCAGUGGAUAGAGCAUUGGAUUCCUAAUCCAUGUGCGUAGGUUCAAUUCCUGUCGGGGGUA
rnacentral:tRNA from 1 species